AUACGUAGGGAGCGAGCGUUGUCCGGAAUUACUGGGUGUAAAGGGAGCGUAGGCGGGAGUGCAAGUCAGAUGUGAAAUACAUGGGCUCAACCCAUGGGCUGCAUUUGAAACUGCAUUUCUUGAGUGAAGUAGAGGUAAGCGGAAUUCCUGGUGUAGCGGUGAAAUGCGUAGAUAUCAGGAGGAACACCGGUGGCGAAGGCGGCUUACUGGGCUUUUACUGACGCUGAGGCUCGAAAGCGUGGGGAGCAAACAGGAUUAGAUACCCUGGUAGUCCACGCUGUAAACGAUGAUUACUAGGUGUGGGGGGACUGACCCCUUCCGUGCCGCAGUUAACACAAUAAGUAAUCCACCUGGGGAGUACGGCCGCAAGGUUGAA
rnacentral:rRNA from 1 species